GACGAACGCUGGCGGCGUGCUUAACACAUGCAAGUCGAACGGAAAGGCCUGCUUUCCCUUGUGGAUUGCGGGUACUCGAGUGGCGAACGGGUGAGUAACACGUGAGUGAUCUGCCCCCAACUUGGGUAUAAGCCUGGGAAACUGGGUCUAAUUCCCGAUAGGACUGCAGGGUGGUGCCUGUGGUGGAAAACGAUUUUCUAGUGGUUGGGGAUGAGCUCGCGGCCUAUCAGCUUGUUGGUGGGGUAAUGGCCUACCAAGGCGGCGACGGGUAGCCGGCCUGAGAGGGUGGACGGCCACAUUGGGACUGAGAUACGGCCCAGACUCCUACGGGAGGCAGCAGUGGGGAAUAUUGCGCAAUGGGCGGAAGCCUGAUGCAGCGACGCCGCGUGGGGGAUGACGGCCUUCGGGUUGUAAACUCCUUUCGACCGCGAGGAAGCCACCUGGUUGGAAGGGUGGUGACGGUAGUGGUAGAAGAAGCACCGGCUAACUACGUG
rnacentral:rRNA from 1 species